CCACAGAAUAAAACGCUUACCAUUUAUAGAAAUUAAUUUCAUUUAAACAUCAAAUCGUGUCAUAAUUCCAUGAUUAGAGCAUACAAAAGCUCUUAGGUUGACCCAAGAACAAAUAAGGACUAAACUGGAAACUAUAUAAAUAAAAAUGGAAAUUUUGCAAAAUAAAGAUCACACAAACAUGUAAGUCACUAUGGCCGUGUGAACCAAAAUCGAUUAAUUCUUCCAAUAGUCACACAGUUGUGUCACCAACCCGUAUGUCACACACACGGCUAUGUGGUCAAACCAUGUGGUUCCGAAAUCUCCUACAUUCCAAUCAUUACACAUCAUUACACAAUUGUGUCACCAGCUCGUGUGGUACAAAAAUGUACCACUUUGAUCCUUAUUCAAGUCAAAUAUUCCAAAACCUCAAAACAUACAUUUUUGUAAACUAAAAACCUGCACAAAGCAUCUCAAAACCAAGCCAAAACAUGUUAUAUAUAAUUCUCUUAAACAUCUAACCAAUAUGCCACAUUGACACUGUAACAGGCCAAUUUGCCCGGCCCCUUUGAAACCCAAAAUAAAUAAACAAAAACCCAAAUAAAAUUAUAACAGUCCAUCAUAUGUCCUUUUACAGACUUUGACCCAAACUAAUACCCCAAACCGAACCCUAUACAAGCCCAAAUCAAUACCCAAUCCCCAAAUAAAACCCACGGUCCAAAGACAAUGGUCCAACACCCAAAAAUGAGCCCAAACGGCCCCAAAUACUGAAACCAAGACAGAAACCCUAGCAGUUCCUGCUUGCACCGCAGCAGCCCCGGCCUCCGUACCGCCUCCGUACCCUCAGCAGCGCCAUGCUCUCGUACACACGCCAACACCACCCCGUACCUGCAAAUACAGAAAAACGACAGCAGCAAAUACAAACAAAAAUUGUAUUUCUUUCUUUUUAUUUCCUUUUAAUUCUUUUUUCUUUUUUUCGGCUACAAAGCCAGGAUCUUUAAUCCUUGUAAUGGGUUACAAAAAAGGAACGCACAAAAAUAGUAGCAAUACAAAGCAAUCAAAAGCAGAGGAGGUGAUUUCCGCUAUCCACUUUCCUAUGGUCUUUUCUUUCCUUUUACUAGUAUUUGCUCACAUCUUUCAUCGAUAUAUUUCAAAAAAAAAUAAACAAAAGAGAAGGAAAAGCGAAAGAAAUCUUUCUUUCUAUCAGUAUUUACCUUGCGAAUCCGUCUUCGAUCCUCUGUCGUUUCGUCGAAAUCGAAGCUAGGGGGUUUUGAGGUCGAAGAACAAUACGCCAAAACCCGAAACACAAAACGUCGUUCUCGAUGGCGAUUUGGUGUUUGAGGAGGCACUUUAGGGUUUGGCUAAAGGAAAGGGAUAGCAAAGAGUGGGAGAAGGUGGCUAGGGUUCAGCCGAACAGGCUUAAGUGAGCCUUUAUAGCGAAUCAAAAACGGCGCCGUUUGAGCAUGCUUCAAUGGCUCUGAAACGGUGCCGUGUACCAAGGUCCGACCCGAUCCGGCUCCUAACCCUCAGGAUCCGCGCGUUUGCUGCGGUAAAGGGAAAGUUUCACAUUUAGUCCCUUCCUUUCGCGUUGGUGCUCAAUUAGGUCUAGUCCAG
rnacentral:lncRNA from 1 species